rnacentral:rRNA from 1 species
UACUCCUACGGGGCGCAGCAGUAGGGAAUCUUCCACAAUGGACGAAAGUCUGAUGGAGCAACGCCGCGUGAGUGAAGAAGGGUUUCGGCUCGUAAAGCUCUGUUGGUAGUGAAGAAAGAUAGAGGUAGUAACUGGCCUUUAUUUGACGGUAAUUACUUAGAAAGUCACGGCUAACUAUGUGCCAGCAGCCGCGGUAAUACAUAGGGGGCAAGCGUUAUCCGGAAUUAUUGGGUGUAAAGGGUGCGUAGACGGAAGAACAAGUUGGUUGUGAAAUCCCUCGGCUCAACUGAGGAACUGCAACCAAA